rnacentral:rRNA from 1 species
GACGAACGCUGGCGGCGUGCUUAACACAUGCCAGUCGAACGGAAAGGCCCUGCUUUUGUGGGGUGCUCGAGUGGCGAACGGGUGAGUAACACGUGAGUAACCUGCCCUUGACUUUGGGAUAACUUCAGGAAACUGGGGCUAAUACCGGAUAGGAGCUCCUGCUGCAUGGUGGGGGUUGGAAAGUUUCGGCGGUUGGGGAUGGACUCGCGGCUUAUCAGCUUGUUGGUGGGGUAGUGGCUUACCAAGGCUUUGACGGGUAGCCGGCCUGAGAGGGUGACCGGCCACAUUGGGACUGAGAUACGGCCCAGACUCCUACGGGAGGCAGCAGUGGGGAAUAUUGCACAAUGGGCGGAAGCCUGAUGCAGCAACGCCGCGUGCGGGAUGACGGGCUACGGGUUGUAAACCGCUUUCGAAUGUGACGAAGCGUGAGUGACGGUAAUGGGUAAAGAAGCACCGGCUAACUACGUG